CCUACGGGUGGCAGCAGUGAGGAAUAUUGGUCAAUGGGCGGAAGCCUGAACCAGCCAAGUAGCGUGCGGGAUGAAGGCCCUACGGGUCGUAAACCGCUUUUGCACGGGGAUAACACCCUCCACUUGUGGAGGUCUGCAGGUACCGUGCGAAUAAGGGCCGGCUAAUUCCGUGCCAGCAGCCGCGGUAAUACGGAGGGCCCGAGCGUUAUCCGGAUUCAUUGGGCUUAAAGAGAGCGUAGGCGGUCGUUCAAGUCAGCUGUAAAAGCGCGCGGCUCAACCGCGCCCCGCAGUUGAAACGGGACGCCUUGAGGUCACAACAGGCAGGCGGAAUUCGUGGUGUAGCGGUGAAAUGCAUAGAUAUCACGAGGAACCCCGAUUGCGAAGGCAGCCGGCCGGGGUGCGACUGACGCUGAGGCUCGAAGGUGCGGGUAUCAAACAGGAUUAGAUACCCUGGUAGUC
rnacentral:rRNA from 1 species